GGGAAAGUAGCUCAGUGGUAGAGCGCUUGCCUUGCAAGCAUGAGGCCCUGGGUUCGAUUCCUCAGCACCA
rnacentral:tRNA from 1 species